AGUCGUAACAAGGUUUCUGUAGGUGAACCUGCAGAAGGAUCAUUAGUGAAGAUUUGGGCAGGCCAUACGGACGCCAAAAAGUGUCCCUGGCCGCCUACACCCACUAUACAUCCACAAACCCGUGUGCACUGUCUUGGAGAAAGGCUUCAGAGAAGUUUUUUGUGGCCUCUCUUGGGGUCUUUCUUCGCUACAAACUCGAAUGGUUAGUAUGAACGUGGAACUUGGUUGGACCGUCACUGGCCAACAAACUAUACACAACUUUCGACAACGGAUCUCUUGGUUCUCCCAUCGAUGAAGAACGCAGCGAAACGCGAUAGGUAAUGUGAAUUGCAGAAUUCCGUGAAUCAUCGAAUCUUUGAACGCACCUUGCGCUCUAUGGCAAUCCGUAGAGCAUGCCUGUUUGAGUGCCAUGAAAUCUCCCACCCCAAGCGGUUUUUAAAUGAAACGGCUUGGCGGAUGGGGUCUGGAUGGGUGCCUCUGCCUGCGCUACCUAGCACAGGCUCGCCCGAAAUGCAUGAGCGCCUUGAGACACUUUGCAUCCGCCUCUCUGUUUGGGAGGAGGCGGCCAAGCAGUGUUUUUCUCCUGGCAUGGCAUGAUACGUCAUUUGCUAUGUCGCCUAAAGGAGGAAUGUUUGGUUGUGUCUGCGUGUGCUUCGAACUUGCCUCUGUGGCACAUCCCAAUUUCACUUCUGGUCUCAAAUCAGGUAGGAUCACCCGCUGAACUAAAGCAUAUCAAUAAAAGUCG
rnacentral:rRNA from 1 species